UGCCUUUUAGUGUAACGGUUAGCACAACUCUCUUUGACAGAGUUAGUAUGGGUUCGAAUCCCAUAAAGGUAUC
rnacentral:tRNA from 1 species